AAGCUCCAAACUUUACAAUUUAAGCUUCAUUUCAAUUUUUUCUUCUACCCAAAGAGCAUAAUCACCUAUAAUAUGGAUGAAACAUGUGUAGAAAGCAUGGGCAAAUGUGGUAUAAAAUAUGGAAUUGGAGUUUAAAUAGUAAAAUGUGGAGCUUAUUUAUCAAUUCCCUAUAUUUAAUAAAUAAAUGGAUCCAUGGUUUGCUAGUCCUAAUUCUACACCAGGUCCGAACAGAGGGAAAAAUAUACACUUUUCUGUACUGAUAGUUUGUCCUAAUAGUAGGUUUUAGGGCGCUGGAAACUAAGAUAGAGAAAAUCAUAAUCUCUGCUUUAACGUUGCUAAUCAAUUCUGUUUAAUGAUACCUUGACAAAUGUUUAAUAAUUUUAAACUUCUAUUUUGAGUUUGAAUUUUGACCGGAAGAAUAAACCCAAUUAACCCGACCCAACCCGACCUAUAAAUAAUAGGGUUGGGUUAGACAAAUAUAUUUGAGUGAUUGGGUUAAUUUUUUCAUAAACCGAUUAUAUUGGGUUGGGUCGUUUUUUGCCUUGAAACCGCCCAACCCAACCCGUGUUCACCCCUAGUUGCAAUCAAGCACAUCCAAUCAUAUGUGAUUUCCAAUUUUUUUUGUUACAAGUAGUAUUUUUAUAAAUAUUUUUAAAUAUAAUGAAAAUAUAAAAAUUUUAAAUUUUCUUAAAAUUAGUUUAUAUAAUUACACAUAUAUUUUAUCCAUUUCAAAUCUAUUAUUUCAUUAUUUUAAACAAAAUAAAAUGAAGAUUUACAGUAUAUAGUAGAAACUAUUAAAAGAAAUAAACUUAUAUUAUUAUUAUUAUGUAUGAAUCAUUGAAAAUAAAAAAUUUAAUUGAUUAAAGAGGACACAAAACAAGGGGGAUGGAGUGAGGCUCAGAUCUGCAAAAAGUGGAGACAAUGGAGGAUCCGAGUCCGCCAUGGCUGCAACCAUCUUGGUUACCCAGCCAAGAUACGGGUCAGAUCUCCCAAGCUCCCACUGGGGUUCGCUCCAAUUAGAAUACAUAUCCAUCAUCAUCAUAGCCUCCCUGUUUAUUUAAUUUACUUGCUCUUAGACAGAAACUCUGAAAUAGAUAGAAACAUGCAUGCAUCCAAUGCCAUCCAUACAUAAUGGAGAGUGGAAUGGAAUUGGUGGUGAAGGAAGUGAAGAAGAAAUAAUUAUACAGUAAAUUCCCCAGAAAGCAAACAGACAAUGCCUUUGAAUCAUCUGUAUCUGCAGCAGCAGCAACAACAACAACAAUAAGAGUAGAUUGUGUGAAACUGCAAAGGUCGGUUGAUUGAGAAUGGUGUUAGAAAUCAUGGGCUAAGCAGAGAGGGGCAACCGGCCUUGGAAACCAUUAUUAUCCUCUCCACCGCCUCAUUCUUCUAAGAGCAAACCCCAGCUUUUUGCUGCUCUCUUUACCAAACGCACUCCCUUAUAUGUUGAUGUUUUUUAGUAUUAUUUUUGUUGAGUAAUUGUCUUGGUUUUGGUGUUUAAUUUUUAAUUUCACUUGGUGGUUGAAAUGCUUGAGGGGAGGUUCAUGGUACUAGUUUGUGUAGACCGUGGAGAGAGAAUUCAAUUCUGUCAAAGAUGUGCCUUUGAUUUAUUCAUUUAUUAAAAAAAUCAAAGUUAUAAAUAUUUGAGGAAAAAAUAUAAUUGAAAGUAUAAGCCAGCUAUUGUGAUUAUAAUUAAAAUCAAAACGCAUAUAUUUUCGAUACAUAUGAUAUUUCUUUAUAGGUUUCAAAAAAAUAUAUGAUAUUUCUUUAUAUAAAUCUGUAAGUAAUUUUAUAUAUUACUGUUAUACAAAAUAUUUUUAUACUACUGAAUUAGAAGUCGAGAAGUAUAUUUCAUACAAGUGUGUACUACGAGAUGGCAUGGACAACAGACUAGAUUUAAUUAUUUUUUGAAGAUAAACAUACCAUUUUUUUUUUGUCCUGAGGUAUUUCUAAUUUAGAUUAUCUUUUUCCUAAUUAAAAUAAACUCCUCCAGAUAGCAUAGAUCAAAUAACAAAAAAAAGAUAAUUAGCAAAAAAAAAAUAACUAAAAAGAUUGAUUAGAUUCUUUCCUAGAAAAGAAUAACAAACAAAAUAGAUCAAAUGUCUAAAAAGAUUGAUCAGACUCUUUCCUAGAUCAGACUCUUUCCUAGAAAUGAGGGGUCGUUUAGUUCGUAGGUUUCUGGAAUGNGACAAUGGAGGAUCCGAGUCCGCCAUGGCUGCAACCAUCUUGGUUACCCAGCCAAGAUACGGGUCAGAUCUCCCAAGCUCCCACUGGGGUUCGCUCCAAUUAGAAUACAUAUCCAUCAUCAUCAUAGCCUCCCUGUUUAUUUAAUUUACUUGCUCUUAGACAGAAACUCUGAAAUAGAUAGAAACAUGCAUGCAUCCAAUGCCAUCCAUACAUAAUGGAGAGUGGAAUGGAAUUGGUGGUGAAGGAAGUGAAGAAGAAAUAAUUAUACAGUAAAUUCCCCAGAAAGCAAACAGACAAUGCCUUUGAAUCAUCUGUAUCUGCAGCAGCAGCAACAACAACAACAAUAAGAGUAGAUUGUGUGAAACUGCAAAGGUCGGUUGAUUGAGAAUGGUGUUAGAAAUCAUGGGCUAAGCAGAGAGGGGCAACCGGCCUUGGAAACCAUUAUUAUCCUCUCCACCGCCUCAUUCUUCUAAGAGCAAACCCCAGCUUUUUGCUGCUCUCUUUACCAAACGCACUCCCUUAUAUGUUGAUGUUUUUUAGUAUUAUUUUUGUUGAGUAAUUGUCUUGGUUUUGGUGUUUAAUUUUUAAUUUCACUUGGUGGUUGAAAUGCUUGAGGGGAGGUUCAUGGUACUAGUUUGUGUAGACCGUGGAGAGAGAAUUCAAUUCUGUCAAAGAUGUGCCUUUGAUUUAUUCAUUUAUUAAAAAAAUCAAAGUUAUAAAUAUUUGAGGAAAAAAUAUAAUUGAAAGUAUAAGCCAGCUAUUGUGAUUAUAAUUAAAAUCAAAACGCAUAUAUUUUCGAUACAUAUGAUAUUUCUUUAUAGGUUUCAAAAAAAUAUAUGAUAUUUCUUUAUAUAAAUCUGUAAGUAAUUUUAUAUAUUACUGUUAUACAAAAUAUUUUUAUACUACUGAAUUAGAAGUCGAGAAGUAUAUUUCAUACAAGUGUGUACUACGAGAUGGCAUGGACAACAGACUAGAUUUAAUUAUUUUUUGAAGAUAAACAUACCAUUUUUUUUUUGUCCUGAGGUAUUUCUAAUUUAGAUUAUCUUUUUCCUAAUUAAAAUAAACUCCUCCAGAUAGCAUAGAUCAAAUAACAAAAAAAAGAUAAUUAGCAAAAAAAAAAUAACUAAAAAGAUUGAUUAGAUUCUUUCCUAGAAAAGAAUAACAAACAAAAUAGAUCAAAUGUCUAAAAAGAUUGAUCAGACUCUUUCCUAGAUCAGACUCUUUCCUAGAAAUGAGGGGUCGUUUAGUUCGUAGGUUUCUGGAAUGAGGUAUGGGGUUUGUCCAUUCCAAACUCAUACCUGGUGUUUGGUUGACAAAAAUAAAAUCUGAAACUCAUACCUUAAACCCCAAAGUAUGGGUUUUUGAUACACAAGUGGGGAGGUGGGUAUGAGAUGGAGGUAUGAGCUAUAUUCAUUUUUUAUUUUUUUUCCCUCUCUUUAAGUAAUGAAAUAUAAAUGUUUGAUAAAAAAUUAAAUCAAUGAUGCAAAAAUAUAUGACAAUAACAAUUUUAUUAAUAUUUUUAAUUAAUAUAUAUUAAUAACUUAUUUUUUAUAAAAAUUGUAUAUAUUGAUUCCAACACUCAACCAAACACAUGAUAUCAGAUAUGAUACCUCAAACUCAUACCAGCUUAACCCGAUUUCUCAUUCCAACCCGAUACCACUCCUCAAACCAAACAACCCCUAAGGAGUAGCAAACAAAAAUCGUUUGGUCAAUUACGAUGCUCGAUUCCCCGAAUACCAAAAAAACAUAAAAAUGAACUGGAUCUUUUGGAAACACCCAUGUCCACUAGUUGUCUAGCAUGAUUGUAGCAUUUUAGGUUGAAAAAAUAACAAAAGUCAAAAAAAUGCAUUGAAAUUAAAAUUUUGUGGUAAAAUUAGAAGACAUUACUUUAAUAUAUUUUGAAUUGUACUGCUUUAAGAAAGUUCACGAAUUUACAAUAAAAAACAAGACAUUGUUUUAAAUCAUUGAAAAGGUGAUUAAUAAGUAAUAACCAUCCUUUUUGAGGAAAAAAUAAAGAGGAUUUUCUUCUAUUGCUAAACUGCCCUUAAAUAAUUUUUUAAUAUAAAAAUGUUAUACGAACAUCUUGUUAAAAAAUUUUAAAUUAGAUAUCAAAAAUAUAGGCUACAAUAGCAUAAUUAACCCUAAAAAAUUUCAUCCGUAAUAAAAAAUUAUAAAUAAGAUUAUUCCAACUCCUUUAACUUAUUUCUUAUUUUUAAUAAUUAAAUUAAUCAAAUAUUAAUCGAAUAUUAAACAUAAAAUAAAAAUGAAUGAUAGAAGAUUAACUUAAAAAGAAAAAGAUAACAAUGGAGUGAGGCUCAGAUCUGUAAAAAGCGGAGACACCGGAGGAUCUAAUUCCGCCAUGGCUGCAACCAUCCAGUUGCUUGCGAAUCGCAAGCCAUCCGGCGUUGCCCAGCCAAGAUACGGGUCAGAUUCCCCCGAGCCCCAACCGGGGUUCGCUACAAUUAGAUUAUAAAACAUUAUCAUCAUAGCCUCUUUGUUAAUAGCUGCGCCAUCGGAGACUCUGGAGAUGCUCUAGUACAUGAAUUCAUGCAGAUCACUUAAGUGAAGGGGAAUGGCGUUGAUAUGGUAGAAUGCUUUGUUAAUAUUAUUUUAAUAAUAAUAAUAAAUUAUUAUGGGCUACAUAUAUAAAUAUAUCAAUUAUAUUUAAUUAUUUAUUUUAUUGGGUUAAAUUACGUGAUCAAAUCAGUGUUCUAAAAGUCGGCGAUUAAUCGGGAUUAAUCGCCGAUUAAUCGCUGUUCGGUCGGCCACCGUCUCGAUUAAGCGUUAAUCGGCGAAAAAAUAGUUUUUUCUGAAAAUCGGGAUUAAUCGGUCAAAAGUCGGGAUUAAUCGGAAAAAGUCGGUCAAAAAUCGGUGAAUUUAAAAAAAUUAAAAAUAAAAAGUAAAAAAAUCUUAAAAUUCUAAAAUUUAAUUUUAAAUAAAACAAAAGGCACGGAAAUGACAAAACACAUAAAUUAAAGUUGUUUUAUUACCUUUCACUCUUUCAAUAUUAACUUUAAACUCUAAUUACAUAAAUUUGCAAUAUCUUCCUUCGCAGAUUCAAUCAAAUUCAAGUUUAUAUAUGAGAUGAAUGGAUUUGUAUAUGUAUAUAAAGGCAUGUUUUGUGUUAUAAAAAAUCAUUAAUCUUUUGAUUUUAUAUGACUAUAAAUUUAUACUAUAUAUAAUUAUAUUAAUAUAUACUAUUAUUUAAAAAAUAAUAUUAAAUUGAUUACGAUUAAUGAUCCGAUUAAUCACUCCGAUUAAUCUCCGAUUAUCCGAUUAAUCGCUAGACGGUGCCUUCACCGACUAAGUCCGAUUCCCGCUUUUUACAACACUGGAUCAAAUAAGAAACCCAAUUAGAUUUUAAUUAUUGUGUGGGUCAAAUGAGUGGAUACUCAAUACUAAGGCCUAAUCAAUAUAUAUAUAUAAAGGAGGAUGCGGGCGUCUCUACAAUUGCUCGAUUCAGUCCUCUGAAUUUUCUUGAUUUUCGGAGAGAAAAUAUAGUUAUAAUUCAAAAAAUCAGGUCCAAGAAUUCUGAAAGUAAUACAAUUCUUUUCUUAUUUAAUUCUAAAGAUGAUACAGUUCUUUUCUUAUUUGGUAUUUUUUAUUAAACUCUAAAGAUGAUACAAUAGUAUUUCUUAUUGAAUUCUAAAGAUGAUACAAUUCUUUUCUUAUUUAGGAAUCCAAAACAAAUAGGAUUAUAUUUAUUCAAACUAAUAAUAAUAGAUAAAAUACAAUUUAUAUUUAAGAUAUGUAAAGUAAUAUAUACAAUUCUUAUUUUCGAUAAGAUAUAUUGAAGAUAUGUUUAACGGGUACACGAUUGAAAAUAACUUUUAUGGAAUUAUAAUAGUAUUUCGUAUCAAACUUUAUAAAAAAAAUUAUUUAUUAGUAUUGUGUUUAAGGGGAGGGCGGCCCAAAUUAAUUUUUACCUAAAUAAUAAUAUUUUUUUAUUAGUAUUAUGUUUGAUGGGAAAGUAGCUAAAACAAUUUUUUGUCUAGAUUUAUAAAAAAUUCAUAACGCCGCCGCGAAGCGCGGCUUUUUUCACUAGUCAGUAUAUAUAUAUAAAGGAGGAUGCGGGCGUCUCUACGAUUGUUCGAUUCAGUCUUCUGAUUUUUCUUAAAUUUCGGAGAGAAAAUAUAGUUAUAAUUCAAAAAAUCUGGUUCAAGAAUUCUAGAGGUAAUACAAUUCUUUUCUCAUUGAAUUCUAAAUAUGAUACAAUUUUUUUCUUAUUUAGUAUUUCUUAUUGAAUUCUAAAGAUGAUACAAUAGUAUUUCUUAUUGAAUUCUAAAGAUUAUACAAUUCUUUUUAUAUUUACUAAUCCUAAAAGUAAUAGGACUAUAUUUAUUGAAACUAAUAAUAAUAGAUAAAAUAUAAUUUAUAUUUAAUAUUUGUUAAGUAAUAUAUACAAUUCUUAUUUUCGAUAAGAUAUAUUGAAGAUGUAGUUGAAUUUUAUAUUAUAAAAUUUUAUUUUAAAUAUGUUCGAAUUAUAAAGUUGGCAUCUCUAGAAUUGUUCGAUUCAGUUUAUAAUUUUCUUAAAUUUCGGAUAGAAAAUAAAAUUAUAAUAAAAACCAAAUUCAAAUAUUUUAUAGAUAAAACGAUUGCAAAGAUAGUACAAUUCUUUUACUUAUUUAGAAAUCAUAAAAGAUUAGGAUUCCAUUUAUUCAAAAUAACAAUUAUAGAACAAAUAUAAUUAAAAAAAAUACAAUUUUUAUUUUCAAAAGUUAUAAAAAUUUUCCUUCAAAAAAAAAGUUGUAAAAUUUAUAAUCUUAUUUUAUUAAUUUUUUUCAAAUUAUAUAUUAAAAAAAAAUAAAAACCAGCAUCUUCUAGAAUCUCACAUUGUCUAAACAGGUUCGUAGCGCUAGACUCGCGUCGUUCCAUAAUGAUCAACAAGAAAAUAACAUAAAACAUCUCUGACAUAUUUGCAGGCUCUCAAAUAGUAUGCAUGGACUUACGACCAAUCUCGACAAUAGUUCGAUUCAGUCAUAUAAUUUUCUUGAAUUUCGAAUAGAAAAUAAAAUUAUAAUUCCAAAAAUCAAAUUCAAGGAUCUUCUUAUUUAGGAAUCCUAAAAGAAAUAGGAUUUUAUUUAUUUAAACUAACAAUCAUUGAAAAAAUACAAUUUAUAGUUAAAAUUUGUAAGGUAAUAUGUACAAUUUUUAUUUUCGAUUUAGUUUUAUAAUUUUCUUAAAUUUCGAGUAGAAAAUCAAGGAUUAUAAAGAUAAUAAUCAUUAAAAAAGACUAAUAGCACAAAAAUAAGAAUAAUAGAAGAAUAAUAUUUUUUAACUAAUAAAUAGGAAUCAUUAAAUAAUAAUAAUAAUAAAUAAAUACGAUAUAUAAAAUAGGAAUUAUAUAUUGAUUUUAUGAUAAUCAAAAUGAUUCUUGAUUAGUAUUAUGUUUGACGGGCACGGGAGGCGGCCCAAACUAAUUUUUAUCUAAAUAAUAAUAAUAUUUUUAUUAGUUUUGUGUUUGACGGGCACGAGAGGGCCCAAACUAAUUUUUAUCUAAAUAAUAAUAAUUUUUCCAUUAGUAUUUUGUUUGACGGGAAAGUGGCUAAAAUAAUUUUUUUAUCUAUGUUAUAAUAUAUUUCUUUUCCUAAAACAGGACCACAGUUCAAAAUAAUUUUUAUCCAAUUAUAAGCUUUAAUAUUACAAGUUUCAUAUAUUAUUCUAUUUCAUCAUUUAUGAAUAGAUAUUACACGCCGUCACGAAGUAAUCACACCUUAUAUCAAACGGCUUUUAUGAAGCAAACAAAUUUUUACAAUAAUACACCCUAAUAUAGCAUACAUCCAAAAAUUCUUGAUAAUUUGAUAGAAUAUUAAAUGAGGACCACUUAAGCAAAUUUUUAUACUAAUUAUAAUAUUUUUUUUAUUAGUCAUAUGUUUAACGAUUAUUUAUUUUAUUGGGUUAAAUUACGUGAUCAAAUAAGAAAUCCAAUUAGAUUUUAAUUAUUGUGUGGGUCAAAUGAGUGGAUACCCAAUACUAAGGCCUAAUUUAAUUAUAAUGGGAGAUUAAAUUGAGCGUUAGAAUACAGAAGGUUAUAGUCCCCAAUAUAUCAAGCAACACAUACAGUCUUUCUUUACCCAUCAGAGAGGACUACUAGAGAAAACCUAAGGAGUGCUUGGUUGAGGAAGACAAUAACGCUGCUUCAAAAGCAAGAUUACUUAAGGUUAUACCACUAUCAUCACUAAUGGAUACAGGUAUGCUUCCGCUUACAGUUUAUAACUCGAUAGUUGAAUAUGAUGUUUACGAUCCUUGUCUCUAUUAUAGAGAAUUUGUGCUUAUAGAAUUAUAAGUUUCUUACCAUUGGCAUCAGAGCCACUUCAUAUUUGAUUAUUGAGUGUACAGUUUUUGCAUAUGUUUUGAAAUCGGUUAAUCUGAUUUGUUCGGUUAUUGUUUUCCGAGAGGAUUUGUGUGCACGCACAGUCUGGCUAAUUUUUUGACACUUGAAUUGCGUUUGCGUGAUUUCACUUCGGUCAAAUUUUCUUUUACACACGCGCAUGUCCAGUAAAAUUUUGAAUUGUUAAGGUUCAACCCCAUGGUUAUUUUAAUUAUGUAACUGUUGAUCAUGGAUGCAUGUUACUUUUGUAUGUCAUGCAUUAUAAUACCAUAUCAUACUUGGUACUUUUGUUUUUUUUUGUUUAGUAAGCUCCAUGUUAAUGGUUAAAGUGAUGCUCUGGAUUCAGUUUAUUAUUAUGCAGUAAUACAGUACCUAGCAUGUUGAGUCAUAUUUUUAUAUAAUUUGGUUAAUUUGCUGCAAAUAAAGAAAAUGUAUUAUGGUUAUGUGUUAAAUUUUAAUAUUGGCAAAAUAUUAUUAACCUAUUUAGUUAGGUGGUCAAAUAAUUUUAAGUUAAUUGAUUGAAGCAAUAUGUUGCCAAAGUAACCUCUUUUGUGUAGAUUAGUUAAUUUAAAAGUAUUAUUAUGACGAUUGAAUAUUUAAUUUAAUGCAAAUUUUAUCGGCCCAAAGGAAGAUAAAUAUUUGGCCAAAAUUAAAAUAUUCUUGUGAUAGUAAGUAUGUAGCAAUAUAAAGUUUUUUUUUCAUGUGAAUAAUAAGUCGGUCCAAAGAAAGGCAUAUUAUUUGACAGAAAUUAAUUGUUAAUACUUGAUUAGUGCGUGGAGAGUACCAAUUGCAAAUUAAAUUUUCUGUCCAAAGACUAAAAUUUAUUGUUGCGCUAGGUAUCUUGUGAUGGUGUUGCCAAUAAUAAAAUUUAUUAUAUUAUUAUAUAUGUUAGUGUUGAGCAUUUUCUGUAAAUUUGUUUUCUAUUGCAGUUAUGACUACAGUUAAUUCUGCUUCUGCUCAAUUGAGCAUGAUUCCAAUGUUGAAUGGGACAAACUAUGUCACAUGGAAAGAGACUGUUGAGAUUGUUCUUGGGUGCAUGGAUCUUGACCUUGCGCUAAGGAAAGAGCAACCAGUUCCCACUACGGAUGAUCCGAAAACGGAUCAAAUUGAUAAGUGGGAACGCUCUAAUCGCAUGUGUAUGGCGAUCAUGAAGCGAACGAUCCCAACUGGCUUUCGGGGCUCCAUUGCUGAGAGCACAAGUGCCAAGAAGUUCCUCUCUGAAAUUGAGCAAUAUUUUGCUAAGAAUGAGAAAGCGGAAACGAGUAAUCUUCUGUCAAAACUCGUGACCAUGAAGUAUAAAGGAAAGGGGAACAUAAGGGAGUACAUCAUUGGGAUGUCUAAUCUUGCAGGCAAACUUAAGGAACUCAAGUUAGAACUUUCAGAUGAGCUGCUUGUUCACUUGGUUCUGAUUUCUCUCCCUCCUCAGUUUGGACACUUUGUGGUGAGUUACAAUACUCAAAAGGAAAUUGGACUCUUAAUGAGCUCAUUUCACACUGUGUGCAAGAGGAGGAGAGGGUUUUGCGAGAGAAGACUGAAAGUGCUCACUUGGCAUCGAGCUCUCAUGAUAAGAAAAAAAAGAGAGGUAAGGAUUCUGCAAGUGGAAAACCCAAGCAACCUUCGCAAGAGAAGCAGGAUAAGGGACCAACCUGUUACUUUUGUAAGAAGGCUGGAUAUAUGAAGAAUGAGUGUUCCAAAUAUGCUGCUUGACGUGUGAAGAAGGGUAUGACUUUUGUCUUUGUUUGUUCUGAAGUUAAUUUAGCUUCUGUACCUAAAGAUACUUGGUGGGUAGAUUCUGGUGCUACUACUCAUAUAAGUGUAUCAAUGCAGGGUUGCCUGUGGAGCCGACCGCCAACUGAUGCUGAAAGAUACAUCUAUGUGGGUGACGGCAAUAAAGUUUCAGUUGAAGCAGUUGGAACAUUUAGAUUGUUAUUAAAAACUGGUGUUUAUUUGGAUUUAUUUGAGACUUUUGUUGCACCGUCUUUUAGACGGAAUCUUAUUUCUAUUUCCUGUUUGGACAAAUAUGGCUACACUUGUUCCUUUGGAAAUAAUAAAGUUUGUUUCUCAUUAAAUUCAAAUGUGGUUGCUACUGGUUCUUUAAUUGAUAAUCUUUAUAUGCUUGAGACUGUUACUUUUAAUAAUGAAAUUUUGCACUCAAGUGCAAGAGGUACAAAGCGUAAGAUAACUGAGAAUUCUGCCAUGUUGUGGCACAAGCGCUUAGGACACAUCUCUAAACAGAGAAUUCAGAGGCUUGUGAAUGAUAGAAUUCUUGAUCCCUUAGAUUUAAGUGAUUUUCAGGUUUGCAUAGAAUGCAUUAAGGAAAACAAACAAACUCAAGAAAGUUAGGUGCCAACAGAGCUACUAGUGUCUUAGAACUGAUUCAUACCGAUAUAUGUGGACCAUUCCCUACGGCCUCUUGGAACGGUCAAUGGUAUUUUAUCACGUUCAUAGACGAUUACUCAAGAUAUGGUUACCUAUACUUAAUACAUGAGAAGUCACAAGCUUUGGAUGUGUUUAAGGUCUUCAAAGCUGAAGUUGAGAAACAGCGUGGUAAGCCAAUUAAAGCUGUCAGGUCUGAUCGUGGUGGUGAGUACUACGGUAGAUAUGAUGGAUCAGGUGAACAACGUCCAUGGCCCUUUGCUAACUUCCUAAAGGAGUGUGGGAUUGUCCCUCAGUACACUAUGCCAGGCAAACCUAAUAUGAAUGGUGUUGCUGAGAGGCGAAACCGUACUCUUAAAGAUAUGGUGAGAAGUAUGAUAAGUCAUUCUUCUUUACCUGAAUCACUUUGGGGAGAUGCACUAAUGACUGCUAUUUAUAUCCUUAAUAGAGUUCCAACAAAGGCAGUGGCCGAAACCCCCUUACAAACUUUGGACUGAUAAAACUCCAAGUAUUAGGCAUUUACAUGUUCGGGGUUGUCCAGCUGAGGCAAGGCCAUAUAGACCAAAUGAAAAGAAACUGGACUCAAGGACGGUCAGUUGCUAUUUUGUUGGAUAUCCGGAGCGUACUCGCGGAUUUAAAUUUUAUGAUCCCGCUACUAGAUCCUUCUUCGAGACUGAUAAUGCAAGAUUUUUUGAGGAUGUUGAUUUUGGGAGGGAAGAUAUAGGUAGAAGUGUUGUCUUUGAAGAAGAUAGUCAUGAUCUUAUUCAUGACACGACCGAGAGCAAUGAUCAGAUUAUGGUACCUAUCAUUGUUCAAGGCCCUCCGGUUCAAGACAACACUGCAUUCCCCAUGAGGAACCAAUUGAUCAAACUCAACAACCUCAUGAAUCACAAGAAGUGCCACUAAGGAGAUCCACUAGAGAGCGAAAGAGCGCAAUUCCAGAUGAUUAUGUUGUUUUUCUACAAGAACAUGAAGAUGGAAUUGGCAUUGGAGAAGAUGAUCCUGUAAAUCUUCAACAGGCCAUGCAGAGUCCUCAUGCUCAAAAGUGGAUCGAUGCCAUGAAUGAAGAGAUGCAAUCUAUGAAAGACAAUGACGUUUGGGAUCUUGUCGAGUUGCCUAAAGGAUCAAAGCCUGUUGGUUGCAAAUGGGUUUUUAAAACCAAAAAGGAUUCAAAAGGUAACAUCGAAAGAUAUAAGGCUCGUCUAGUCGCAAAAGUAUUCACUCAAAAGAAAGCUAUCGACUAUAAUGAAACUUUCUCUCCAGUUUCCACGAAAGACUCAUUUAGAAUUUUUAUGGCGCUUGUGGCUCAUUAUGACCUAGAGCUACAUCAGAUGGACGUAAAGACAGCGUUUCUCAAUGGUAACAUUGGAGAGACAAUUUAUAUGGUGCAACCAGAAAAUUUUGUCAUUCGAGAUCCAAAGACAAUGGUUUGCAGAUUAAAGAAGUCCAUCUAUGGUCUCAGACAGGCCUCUCGUGAAUGGUAUCACAAAUUUCAUCAUGUUAUCACAUCAUAUGGUUUUGAAGUGAACUUGGUGGAACAUUGUGUAUAUCACAAGUUCAGUGGGAGCAAAUUUAUCUUUCUUCUCUUAUACGUUGAUGACAUCUUACUUGCCACUAAUGAUAUAGGCUUAUUGCACGAUACCAAGAAAUUUCUCACUAAUCAAUUUGAGAUGAAGGAUCUUGGUAACGCCUCUUUUGUAUUAGGAAUUCAGAUACAUCGAGAUCGCUCUCGAGGUAUUCUUGGAUUGUCGCAAAAGAGCUAUAUCGAAAAGAUCCUGGAAAGGUAUGUCAUGAAAGAUUGUGCACUAAUGGAUACACCCGUGUCUAAAGGAGACAAAUUCAGUCUCAAACAAUGUCCCAAGAAUGAACUUGAGAUAAAAGAAAUGCAGAAGAUACCAUAUGCCUCGGCAGUGGGAAGUCUGAUGUAUGCUCAAGUUUGUACUCGUCCUGACAUAGCAUUGAUUGUUGGAAUGUUGGGAAGAUAUUUGAGCAAUCCGGGGAUGGAACAAUGGAAAGCAGUAAAAUGAGUCCUACGGUAUUUUAAGAAAACAAAAGACUAUAUGCUCACAUAUAGGAAAUCAGAUCAUCUCGAAAUCAUUGGAUAUUCGGAUUCUGACUUUGGAGGAUGCAAAGAUGAAAGAAAAUCUACUUCAUGCUAUGUUUAUUUAUUAGCUGGUGGAGCGAUUUCAUGGAAGUCUGCUAAACAGACGCUCAUAGCUUCAUCCACCAUGGCUGCGGAGUAUAUAGCAUGCUUUGUGGCAUCCAAUCAAGCAUUAUGGCUGCGAAAUUUUGUCACUGGUUUGCGUAUUCUUGAUGGUGUUGAAAGAUUAUUAAAGAUAUUAUGUGAUAAUAAAUCAGCAGUGGAGUAUUCUAAUAACAAUAGGAGCACUACUGAAGCAAAACAUAUAGAUAUCAAGUUACUAGUUGUUAAAGAAAAGAUACAGAGUGGACAAAUUUCUAUAGAACACAUUGGGACUAACUCCAUGAUUGCGGAUCCGCUCACCAAGUCGUUAGCACCUAAGGUUUUUCACGAGCAUAUUGCUCAUAUGGGUGUUACCUCAUGUGAUACUUUGGUUUAGUGGGAGUUUGUAUUUUGGUGUGUUACGUAAUAAACAUUGAGAUGUUUAUGUUCUGCAGAAUACAGUUGAUGGAAUUUUAGUUCAUUAAUUGUCACUCUACUUUUGUUCAAUUUUCUUAUUGUGGUUUAAACAUUGAGUUGAGAAAAUUUAUAUAAAUCUCAUUAGAGAUUGACUAAGGACUAGUUGGAAAUAGGCAUUAUAUAGAUCACAUUGUAUGUAAUUUCCAUGUCACUUAUCCAUACUUUGAUUCAUGUCGUUGAAUAUAUUUGUGUGGUGACCACGGAAGGUUUAGUCGCGUAAAGUUUGUGACGAAUACCGCCAGAAUCUCAUACCUAUAUAGUAGAUGGACCGAAUUGUUUUAGUAAAAUCUAAGGACAAUGAAUAGCAUAAGGUUGCGCACUAAAGAUAUGUAUAAUUGAUUUUGGAUUUAAUAUGAAGCCCAAGUGGGAGAUUGUUAUUAUUAUUUUAAUAAUAAUAAUAAAUUAUUAUGGGCUACAUAUAUAAAUAUAUCAAUUAUAUUUAGUUAUUUAUUUUAUUGGGUUAAAUUACGUGAUCAAAUAAGAAAUCCAAUUAGAUUUUAAUUAUUGUGUGGGUCAAAUGAGUGGAUACCCAAUACUAAGGCCUAAUUUAAUUAUAAUGGGAGAUUAAAUUGAGCGUUAGAAUACAGAAGGUUAUAGUCCCCAAUAUAUCAAGCAACACAUACAGUCUUUCUUUACCCAUCAGAGAGGACUACUCGAGAAAACCUAAGGAGUGCUUGGUUGAGGAAGACAAUAACGCUGCUUCAAAAGCAAGAUUACUUAAGGUUAUACCACUAUCAUCACUAAUGGAUACAGGUAUGCUUCCGCUUACAGUUUAUAACUCGAUAGUUGAAUAUGAUGUUUACGGUCCUUGUCUCUAUUAUAGAGAAUUUAUGCUUAUAGAAUUAUAAGUUUCUUACAAUUGGCAUCAGAGCCACUUCAUAUUUGAUUAUUGAGUGUACAGUUUUUGCAUAUGUUUUGAAAUCGGUUAAUCUGAUUUGUUCGGUUAUUGUUUUCCGAGAGGAUUUGUGUGCACGCACAGUCUGGCUAAUUUUUUAACACUUGAAUUGCGUUUGCGUGAUUUCACUUCGGUCAAAUUUUCUUUUAAACUAAUGAGUUAAAACCCUAGUUUCUCGGUUUCCCCUCUUUAUAUAUCUCACCGGUCCCAUAAUUCCUUUUUACCAAACUACCCUUGCUAAAAAAAUUAGAAUAUAAUAACUUUGGUUUCAUUUUCCCAAUAUGUUAUAAAUUAAACAUAUUAUGUAAUUAAAUUUAGUUUUUUUUUGGAAAAUACGCUCAUCUUUUAAAUUUUGACAAAAAUAUUUUUACUUUGGAAACUUUGAAAAUUAUUAUUUAUUGAAUUUCUUACAAAAUUACUUAAUUUUUUAUGCUACAAUCAAAUGCAUACUCAAUUAAAAGUAGUUCAAUUUUUCGGUUACGGAGAGCCAUAAAUACUUGCAAAAUAGAAUAAGAAUUAACAAAUUAUAUUUUUAUUACAAAUAUAUUUUAUCCAUUUCAAAUUUAUUUUACCAUUUUUAUAAAUUUUACAAAGUGAUUUUUAUUUAAAGUUGUGGUCAAUUGAAAAGCCAUACAAGACUUUUACAGUAGAGAGCAGAAACUAUUAAAAGACAAAUAAACUUAUAUUAUUAUUAUUAUGUAUGAAUUAUAGAAAAUAAAAAGAUUAAUUGAUUAAAAGAGGUCACAAAACAAAGGGGAUGGAGUGAGGCUCAGAUCUGCAAAAAGUGAAGACAAUGGAGGAUCCGAUUCCGCCAUGGCUGCAACCAUCUUAGUUACCCAGCCAAGAUACGGGUCGGAUCUCCCAAGCUCCCACUGGGGUUCGCUCCAAUUAGAUUACAUAUACAACAUCAUCAUAGCCUCGUUGUUUAUUUCACUUGCUCUUAGACAGAUACUGGAAUAGAUAGAUACAUGCAUGCAUCCAAAGCCAUCCAUACAUAAUGGAGAGUGGAAUGGAAAUGGUAGUGAAGGAAGUGAAGUAGAAAUAAUAAUACAGUAAUUUCCCCAGAAAACAAAGAAUCAUCUGUAUCUGCAGCAGCAACAACAACAAGAAUAGAUUGUGUUGCAAAGGUCGGUUGAUUAAGAGUGGUGUUAGAAAUCAUGGGCUAAGUAGAGAGGGGCAACCGGCCUUAGAAACCUUUUUUAUCCUCUCCACCGCCUCAUUCUUCUAAGAGCAAACCCCAGCUUUUUGCUGCUCUCUUUACCAAACGCACCGCUCCCUUAUAUCUUGAUGCUUUUUUUUAAUUAUUUUUUGUUGGGUAAUUGUCUUGGUUUUGGUGUUUAAUUUUUAAUUGCACUUGGUAGUUGAAAUGCUUGAGUGGAGGUUCGUGCUUCGCAGGGAGAUAAUUCAAUUCUGUAAAUAUGUGCUUUUGAUUUAUUCCAUUUACUAUUAAAAAAUCAAAGUUAAAAAUAUUUGAGGAAAAAAUAUAAUUGAAAGUAUAAGCGAGCUAACUAAAAUCAAAAUGCAUAUAUUUUCGGUACAUAUGAUAUUUAUCUUUAAAAAUAAUUAAAUCUAGGCUGUUAAAAAGAUUGAUCAGAUAGAUAGUCUGUUAAAAAGAUUGAUCAAAUUUUUCCUAAAAAGGAGUAACAAACAAAAAUCGCUUGGUCAAUUAUGAUGCUCGAUUCACCGAAUACCAAAAAAACAUAAAAAUAAACUGAUUCUUUUGGAAACCGAUGUGCACAAGUUCUCUAGUAUGAUAGUAGCAUCUUUCAGUUGAAACCGAAGCAACAAAAGUAAAAAAAAAAAAUGCAUUGGGUGGUCAAAAUUAAAAUUUUGUGGUAAAACUAUGCUUUAAAUAUUUUGAAUUGUACUGCUUUUAAGAAAGCUUACGAAUUUGCACUAAAAAAGGACAUUGUUUCAAAUUAUUGAAAAGGUGAUUAAUAACCAUUUUUUGAAAAGGUGAUUAAUAACCAUUUUUUGACGAAGAAGUAAAGAGUAUUUUCUUCUAUUGCUAGAGCAUUCACAUUGGAGUCCUUAUUCAUACCUCCAUCCCUAUAUUUUGGGGAAAAAAUGAAUUUUAACCAAAAAGUAACACUCCAUCCGGUUCCCUAUUCUGGGGAAAUUUUUAAGGACUAGAAAAUGAGUCCUCAAAUUUGAGGGCUUACUAUUCAUCCCCUAUUUACUAUUCUAAUAAUAUUUUUAUAUGAAUGAGGAGUGAGAAAUGAUAAAAUAAUAUUAGUAGUUAUAGUUAUGAAAGGAAGUGAGAGAAACAAGUAAUAAAAAAUAGUAUAGAGAUGGAGAUGGGGAUUGGAAUGUAGGAAAUUUUAGGAGAUAAAUAAAUUUUGAAAAUAAUUUUGAAAACUUACUAUUUUUAGUAUGAUUUUGGGGAUGGUGAUAGGUAACCCAAUGUGAAUGCUCUGAGCACUCACAUCUGAGUCCCCAUCUCUAUAUUUAUAGGGUAAUUAAUCACUUUGAGUUCAAAUGCUUGCUCCAUCCGAGUCCCCAUUUUGGGGUUUGAUUUUAGGGACAAGUUUUGAGUCCCCAUAUUUGCAUAUUACUGUACAAUAGGGCUGCUCAUGGGUUGUCCAACCCGUUCAAACCAACCCAACCCAACCUUGAACUAGGCCGACUAACCCGACCCAUUCCAAACCGUGGGUUAAUUGGGUUGAUUUUUGGUUGAGCCGUUUAUAAUGGGUUGGGUCGAAAUAUGACUUUUAAAAAACUUAAACCAACCCAACCCGGUCAAAAUAUAUCUUUAACACUCUGAUACUCCCUCCGUUUCUUUAUUAUUUUCUCGUUUGAUAUGUCGGGACUGUUCAUAACAUGAGACUAAUUACUAAUUUACGUUUAAUCUAUAGGACUAAAUAUAAUCGUGAGUGAUCUUGUUGGAUUCGUAUUCACGAGUAUUUUAAUAUAAUGAAGUUUUUAUAUUUAAUACUCAUACAAAAUUAAUGAUAUUAAGAAUCAAAAGUGUGUAUCGGCAAACAUGCUAGAGAGAAACAUGAAAAGUAAUAAGACACGGAGGGAGUAGAAUAUUUUUGGUUGCUCACGGAACUAUAUUUACUUAUUUGAUGAUAGAAUGUGCAGUGAGUGUAGUGCAGUGUGCAGAAACAAUUAGAAAUAAAGCUUUAUAGUUCAAAUCAAACGACUCACAUUGCUAGUUCUUAUGAUUAUAUAUCAUGGCGGAAACAUGAUUUUUAAUAGUUAUUAGUGUAUUAAGAUUCAGCUGUCCACCUUAGUAUGAAGAGAAUAUCUGCACUCUAAAAGCACCUGAUAUUUUGUAUCGGUGCAGUGUCCUAUGUUAUUGCUAAUUGUAUACAACAAAAUGGUGCAAAACAUAUUUUGGAUUAUGCUUAUCUUGCAAAUUUUUCAACCCGAUCAACCCUACCCUAACCAACCCAACCCGUCAUACAAUUAGUAGGGUUGGGUUUCUAAUUUUUUUAUGAUUAAUGGGUUAAAUUUUUCUAACCCGUACUAAAUGGGUUGGGUCGCUUGAAUGGCCGAAACCGACCCAACCCAGCCCAUGUGCAGCCCUACUGUACAAUCCCUUUCCCAUCAUCAAACCACCUCUCUCCUCUUUUAAAUAUAUUAAAUUGUAGUGGGUGAGUUUUGAUGAUUAAAAUUUAAGUGAAAGAGCGAGAAAGAAGUAGUAUAUAAAGGAAUAUAGGGAUAUGGGGAUGAAAAAUGGGGAAUGGGAUGUGGAACAUUUUUGAUAAUUCGGUCUUUCUAAUGUGGCACACAAUAAACACUAAGAGGUCAUUUGUUAACAGGUGAAUCAGACCAGAUAUCCUGGACCAUUCAUUUUCUUUUGUUAAGAUCGUUUGACAAUUGCUUUCUUGUAUCUGGACAAUACCAAAAGUGUCUGGACGACUCCCCCUAAAAAAAGUAGCAUGUGUCAUGCAGAAGCAAGCAGGUCUAGUGCAUCAUUUUUUUAAAAAAAAUCAAUAAAAAACAUAUAAUUAAUUUAUCUUUUAUUAUAUUAUUCAGAUUUGACAAAUAAUCACUUAAUAACACUAAUCUUUUAAAUUAUUUUAUAUAUUUAUAUUUAAUUAUUUUAUAAUUUUGGAAUAUUGAAAAUUUUAACAUUUUGGAAUUUCGCUUUUAAAUAUUAAAAUAUAUGUUAAUGAGCCCAAUUAUAUAAAAAAAAUUAACAUUUAUAUUUUUUUUGACAAUAACAUUUGUAUUUUAAAAUUAAAUAUUUUAAAUAUAUAUUAUAUUAUUAAAAAAUAUUAUAAUUUUAAAGAAAUAAAAUCCACCAGAUAUAAGUAUAUGGGUAACAAGAAGUAUAAUUUGUUUUUAAACAUCAGUCGGCUAAAAUUUAUUUUGUAUAAUAAUAUUGAUUAUUUAGCAUGGCAUCUAAUUAAAAUAAAUAAUAUAAUAUAUGUAUAUUUUGUAAUUUGAUACAAUAUUAAAAAAAAUCAUUAUAUGAUUCAAGUUCCAUUUCCCAUCAAUAAUAUAAUAAAAUUUAAUAAAAUAAUAUAUUUAAGAGUAACUCGUGCUAGUCAUCCAGAUACGUAGAAAAAAAAUAACAAACAACGUUAUUCAUUCACACAUUCAGAUUAACUCAUCAUCAGAAGUUCACUCAUCCAGAAAUAAUCAUCCGAUUUAACAAAUGACCCCUAAAUUCUAUAAAAAUGACCUAUUUUGAUUGGUGGAGUUGAUGUGAAUGGAGGGGGGCCAUCAUCAUUUAUUGUUCAUCCACCAAUCAAAAGGAGCUAUUUUUAUUGGAGUUAGGGACUAUUGUGUGCCCUUGGGCAAACCAUAGAAAAUCCCUUGAUAAUUUUGGGGAUUUACUAUUUUUGUUUGGUGAUUUACUAUUUUUAGUAAAUUUUUGGGGAUGGGAUAGAGACCCCAAUGAGAAUGCUCUAAACUGCCCUAAAUAAUUUUUUGAACAUAAAAAUAUUAUAUGAACAUCCUAUUAAAAAUUUGUAAAUUAGAUUUUAAAAAAAUCAGCUACAAUGACAUCAUUUACCCUAAACAAAUUCAUCCGUGAUAAAGAAAAUAUACAUAUACGAUUAUUCCAACUCUUUUAACUUAUUUUAUAUUUUAAUAAUUAAAAUAAUCAAAUUUUAAUCGAAUAUUAUACAUAAAAUAAAAAAUAAAUACAAGAUUAACUCAAAACGGAAAAAGAUAAUUAUGGAGUGAGGCUCAGAUCUGUAAAAAGCGGAGACACCGGAGGAUCUGAUUCCGCCAUGGCUGCAACCAUCUCCGUUGCUUGCGAAUCGCAAGCCAUCCGGUGUUGCCCAGCCAAGAUACGGGUCAGAUUCCCCCGAGCCCCAACCGGGGUUCGCUACAAUUAGAUCAUAAAACAUUAUCAUCAUAGCCUCUUUGUUAAUAGCUGCGCCAUCGGAGACUCUGGAGAUGCUCUAUUACAUGAAUUCAUGCAGAUCACUUAAGUGAGGGGAAUGGCGUUGAUAUGGUAGAAUGCUUAUAUUGUACAGUACUGAAGAAUAAACAGACAGAGUGUUUAGAUCUGAGGUCUGGCAUUCAGACAGCAACAACAACAACAACGGUACGAAGUUGUGUGCUUCAAGGGCGGUUGAUUAGGUUGGUGUAAGAAAUCAUGGGCUAGAGGAGAGGGGCAACCACCCUCAAUAACCUUUUUUAUCCUCUCCACCGCCUCAUUCUUCUAGAGAGCAAACCCCGGCUUUAACCUUUUUUUGUGUUCCUUCCCAAC
rnacentral:lncRNA from 1 species